UACGAAGGGGGCUAGCGUUGCUCGGAAUCACUGGGCGUAAAGGGUGCGUAGGCGGGUCUUUUAAGUCAGGGGUGAAAUCCUGGAGCUCAACUCCAGAACUGCCUUUGAUACUGAAGAUCUUGAGUUCGGGAGAGGUGAGUGGAACUGCGAGUGUAGAGGUGAAAUUCGUAGAUAUUAGGAAGAACACCAGUGGCGAAGGCGGCUCACUGGCCCGGUACUGACGCUGAGGCGCGAAAGCGUGGGGAGCAAACAGGG
rnacentral:rRNA from 1 species